rnacentral:rRNA from 1 species
AGCCUUUAGCCAAACAAGUAUUAAAGGUCCCGCCUGCCCAGUGAAACUUUUCAACGGCCGCGGUAUUCUAACCGUGCAAAGGUAGCGUAAUCACUUGUCUUCUAAAUAAAGACUAGUAUGAACGGCUAAAUGAGGACAAACCUGUCUCAUAUGACCAAUCAGUGAAACUGAUCUCCCAGUACAAAAGCUGGGAUUAACACAUAAGACGAGAAGACCCUGUGGAGCUUAAAAUUUACCACUACAACAUACACCCUAGUCGAAAAUUUUAAGUUGGGGCGACUUUGGAAAAAAACACAACUUCCAAGCACGGGGUACCACCCCACCCUAGGCCAACAAGCCAAAGCAAUCAAAACGACCCAGUCAUACUGACCAACGAACCAAGUUACCCCAGGGAUAACAGCGCCMUCUUCUUCAAGAGUCCAUAUCGACAAGAAGGUUUACGACCUCGAUGUUGGAUCAGGACGCCCAAAUGGUGCAGCCGCUAUUAAUGGUUCGUUUGUUCAACGAUUAACAGUCCUACGU